rnacentral:rRNA from 1 species
ACUCCUACGGGAGGCAGCAGUGGGAAUAUUGCACAAUGGGCGCAAGCCUGAUGCAGCCAUGCCGCGUGUAUGAAGAAGGCCUUCGGGUUGUAAAGUACUUUCAGCAGUGAGGAAGGUGGAGUCGUUAAUAGCGGCCUCAUUUGACGUUAGCUGCAGAAGAAGCACCGGCUAACUCCGUGCCAGCAGCCGCGGUAAUACGGAGGGUGCGAGCGUUAAUCGGAAUUACUGGGCGUAAAGAGCUCGUAGGCGGUUUGUCGCGUCUGCUGUGAAAUCCCGAGGCUCAACCUCGGGCCUGCAGUGGGUACGGGCAGACUAGAGUGUGGUAGGGGAGACUGGAAUUCCUGGUGUAGCGGUGGAAUGCGCAGAUAUCAGGAGGAACACCGAUGGCGAAGGCAGGUCUCUGGGCCACAACUGACGCUGAGGAGCGAAAGCGUGGGGAGCGAACAGGAUUAGAUACCCUGGUAGGCUCUG